AUGGCCGACGGCACCGGCAGCGGCAGGUCCCGUCUCAGCGCCCUCCACCACGACAUCCUCCAUCACAUCAUCACCUACCUCCCCGUCACGGAAGCCGCCGGCGCCGCCGGCCUCGCCCGCGACUGGCGCCACCUCUGGCGCUCCUACCCGCUCGUCCUCAAGGAUGCCCGCAUCCCCGAGGCCGCGCGCGACGCCGUAGUCCCCCGAGUCCUCCACGACCACCCGGGCAACUUCCGCGCCGUCAUCCUCCCCGACUGCAGGCUCGCCUCACUGGACCGUGAGCUCCCCGCCUGGCCGCGCCUCCUCGUCGACAAGCGCACGGAGAAACUCCUUCUCGCCUACAGAUGGGUCAUGGACCAGCCCAACCCCGCGCGCCUUCUUCCCGCCGACAUCCUCCGCUGCGACUCGCUCCAGGAGCUCACCCUGGACUUCUGGACGUUCCCCAGCGGCACCGAGGUCCUUCUUCCCCGCCUCAGGACUCUCACCAUGGUAAGGAUUGGCACAAGCGAUCAGGAUCUGGAGUCCUUGAUCGCUGCCAGCCCCGUUCUGCAGUCCCUUAGGCUCAUCGUCAAUAGCCCCAAGCACGUCCGGCUCCGCAGCAAAAGCCUCAUGUGCGCGCUCGUUGGGCUAUCCACGGUGGAGGAGUUGACCGUGGUGGACACGCCGCUCCUGGCGCGGCUUUGCUUGUUCGUGCCUCGUAAUGGUGUGAGGAUCAGGAUCGUUUGUGCUCCCAACCUGCGGGCGCUCGGCUACCUGGACACAAGAGUUCUCAAGCUGCAGAUUGGUGACAGCGUCGUCAGGUCAGACAGAAUGGUGAGCGCAAGCACUGUAGUUCCAAGCGUCAAGAUAUUGGCGUUGACUGUGAAUUUUGGUGUCUUCGAGGAGAUCAAGAUGCUGGCCAGCUUCCUCAGAUGCUUUCCCAAUGUUGACACGCUGCAUAUCGAGUCUGCACUGCAUGGUCCAUCUGUAACUGCCAACGAACCCACUUGGGAGCAUCAUGCCAAGUUCUGGCAGGAGAUCAGUCCAAUCUUUUGCUUGAGAUCACAUGUCAAGAAGAUGGUUAUUCACGAUUUCCGAGGGGAUCAAAAUGAGUUUGAAUUCCUCAAGUUCGUCGCCAUGAAUGCCGAGGAGCUACAGUCCUUACUGGUUGCGUCGCACAAAGAAAUUUUGUCUUCGGCUGACAAGGUGAAUGAGAUAAAAGACGAAUUGCAGUGUCUACAGUUUCCAACAAGCAUCUCUGCAGUGCUACGGGUAUCACCUAAAGCUGCCAUUCUUUGGCGCUUGAGGAAAGCGUGCAUUCUUACAAUCGAUGACCCUUUCGAGUGCUGA
rnacentral:rRNA from 1 species